GUUUAUGGAAACAUGGAGCGCGGCGCGCUCGGGUCUCGUUGAUAUACGUAGAUCAGAUCUGUGGGCUUAUUGUUUCUAUCUAUUUAUUCGGUGCGAGACGAGGAAUGUGGUUUUUGGUGGAAUGUGUGGUUUUGUUAAAAAAUGAGUAACUAUCAACCUAAUUAAUUAGCGGAGUAAUGAGUAAGACAACGACGGAGCGACUGUGCGACAAGGAUAAAGAAUUUUGGUUGCGAGCGACAGUACCGCCAUCUAGCGGCGAGGAAUUUUCGAAGCUUUUCCCUAUACCCGUAAUGUGCAAGACAAGGACAGAGCUAGUGUGCAACAAGGAUAGAGACAGCGUUCCCCAUGCCACCUACUUAGAAAGAGCAUCUCAUCAGUCCCUGGUACCUACUCGCGAAGCAUCAGGACUAAGAUACGAGUAAUACAUGCAAUUGGCAAGCUCCAGAGGAACCCGCGACGCUCAACGAAAUGACGAUAAUAAUAUAAAUAAAAGUAAAUGAGAAACAUCUCUCAAUUACCCGAAUCAGGCGCAAUCUUCACCAAAG